AUUGAACGCUGGCGGCAGGCCUAACACAUGCAAGUCGAGCGGAUGAAGGGAGCUUGCUCCUGGAUUCAGCGGCGGACGGGUGAGUAAUGCCUAGGAAUCUGCCUGGUAGUGGGGGAUAACGUCCGGAAACGGGCGCUAAUACCGCAUACGUCCUGAGGGAGAAAGUGGGGGAUCUUCGGACCUCACGCUAUCAGCUGAUCCUAGGUCGGAUUAGCUAGUUGGUGGGGUAAAGGCCUACCAAGGCGACGAUCCGUAACUGGUCUGAGAGGAUGAUCAGUCAAAAUGGAACUGAGAAAAGGGCCAGACUCCUACGGGAGGCAGCAGUGGGGAAUAUUGGACAAUGGGCGAAAGCCUGAUCCAGCCAUGCCGCGUGUGUGAAGAAGGUCUUCGGAUUGUAAAGCACUUUAAGUUGGGAGGAAGGGCAGUAAGUUAAUACCUUGCUGUUUUGACGUUACCAACAGAAUAAGCACCGGCUAACUUCGUG
rnacentral:rRNA from 1 species